AGUGAACGCUGGCGGUAGGCCUAACACAUGCAAGUCGAACGGCAGCACAGUAAGAGCUUGCUCUUACGGGUGGCGAGUGGCGGACGGGUGAGGAAUACAUCGGAAUCUACUUUUUCGUGGGGGAUAACGUAGGGAAACUUACGCUAAUCCCGCAUACGACCUACGGGUGAAAGCAGGGGAUCUUCGGACCUUGCGCGAUUGAAUGAGCCGAUGUCGGAUUCGCUAGUUGGCGGGGUAAAGGCCCACCAAGGCGACGAUCCGUAGCUGGUCUGAGAGGAUGAUCAGCGACACUAGAACUGAGACACGGUCCAGACGCCUACGGGAGGGAGCAGUGAGGAAUAUGAGACAAUGGGCGCAAACCUGAUCCAGCCAUCCCGCGUGGGUGAAGGAGACCUUCGGGUUUUAAAGCCCUUUUGUUGGGAAAGAAAAGCAGCAGGUUAAUACCCCGCUGUUCUGACGGUACCCAAAGAAUAAGCACCGGCUAACUUCGUG
rnacentral:rRNA from 1 species